rnacentral:lncRNA from 1 species
GGAAAAGAUGGAUCAGAGGAAGGGAAAGGUGGACAGUGAAAAGCGCGUGCUCCAACGUGGUCAUCUUGCCCAUGUGGGAUCCUGAGAGAGCUACGCUGAGCAGCUUCAUCUCAACGUGGGAUGUCUGAGCAUGAUUAGGAGACUGGAGUGCUGAGGUCCCUAAGAGAAAGAGAGACAGAGAGGGAGAGAGAACGAGAGAGAGAGAGAGAGAGAGAGAGAGAGAGAGAGAGAGAGAACCUAAUUUGCACUCCAAAGCCUACCUUGGUAACAUGCAUGCAGAGGUGAGAGCCAGCAGCCUGACAUAGGACCUGUUGUGGCAAUAGGAGAGAUGAUCCCAUAGUGGACGUAUCAGGAUGGACAGCCUGGCUAGGGGCUGGAUAGAGGGAGACUUGAAAGGCUCUGCAGCCAGAGAGAGCUGAAGUGGGGCCAAGCCAACAAUGAACAUGACUAGGCCCUGACAGAACCAGAAAAAAAUAGACAACUUUAGCAACCACUGAAGUCUUUAGCCAAAACUUGGAUAAACUGAUCAGUACACAAUCAAGAACCAGGACAAGGCUAUAGGGGCCCCUCUCCCCACCUCAUACCAUCAGAAUAUGGUAAGCUAUAAUCCUUUCCCAUGUACUUUCAGAUAAGAGGGCAACGAGGAGUGAAAUGUGGGAAAUCGGAGAACCUGAGAAUUACCUAAUGAAGCGGUUUAAAUUACUCGAUCAGAAUACACGUUAAACCAGAUUAAAUCGAGUUUGUUUGGUUUUGUUUUUCCUCUCCCACCACCUACCAGCUCACAAGACCAAAUCAGCUAUAGACAAAAUAGAGAAACUAAAUCUUUUCUACAUUUCUGUAUCAUGAGUAAUUUUGUAAUCUUGCUACAAAAACACUAAGAUCAAAUAAUGUUAAGUUCACAUCAUAGUGCAUUUAACCCCACAAAAAUAGUCUUUCACUACUCCAAACUUUGCUAUAAAGUCUUUUAUUUAUGAGAAAUUUUAGUGCAUGGAGAAUGAUCACUAAUAUUUGUGCUUUGGUUAGUAUCCAAUAUUUUUAUCUCAUGAUGUAUUAAGUGUGGUAGAUUACAUUAUUUGCUCACAAUUCUUCCUUCCCUCCUGACUGUUGCCAUGGUUCACUGCAGGCAGAGCAUUCUUCCCUCCCUCUUUGAUGUUGGCCUUGGCCAUGUGACUUGCUUUAGACGAUGGAAUGUGGGUGGAAAAGAGCCUGCCAGUUUUGAGCCAGUGAAUUAAGGUCUGGAGUGAGACCUGAGAUUCUGCAUUUCUAACAAGCUCCCAAGUGAUGCAAAUGCUGCUGGUCCUUGAACCACACUUUGCACAACUCUAAUCUUGGAAACUACUACAGUCUAAGGAGUCCAGUCUCCUUCUAGUGGAGAAAAAUAUCAAAGACUCAAAUCUGAGCAUUGUGCUGAACCUUCUCUGUUGGGCUCCUGGACCUCCACAAAGGCUCUGUCAUCUGCAGAUGAUUGUCUUAAAUCAGUGUUCUCCAGGAGCUCCUGGACUUUGGCUGAGAGAAGC